UACGAAGGGGGCUAGCGUUACUCGGAUUGACUGGGCGUAAAGGGCGCGUAGGCGGCUUGUACAGUCAGACGUGAAAUUCCUGGGCUCAACCUGGGGGCUGCGUUUGAUACGUGCGGGCUUGAGUUCGGAAGAGGGUCGUGGAAUUCCCAGUGUAGAGGUGAAAUUCGUAGAUAUUGGGAGGAACACCGGUGGCGAAGGCGGGUCUCUGGGCCGAUACUGACGCUGAGGAGCGAAAGCGUGGGGAGCAAACAGG
rnacentral:rRNA from 1 species